rfam:Felis catus isolate Cinnamon breed Abyssinian chromosome D4, whole genome shotgun sequence.
GCCUGGGUGGCUCAGUCAGCUGAGUGUCUGACUUCAGCUCAGGUCAUGAUCUCAUGAUUCGUGGGUUCAAGCCCCACAUCGGGCU